rnacentral:tRNA from 1 species
AAGUAAAGAAUUUCCUUUACAAAGAAAAUAAUUAUCGUGCAAUUCGAUUUAAUUUGAUAAAUAAAUAAA